ACUCAGCAGGAAGCUCCCAGACUCCGGGGGCACAGACUGGGAGGGGAUAAACGUCCGGGGAAUCCUUUGUAGGGGGCCCUGCCCGAGGCACCAGCUCGAGCUGCUACUAUGUGUCUGCACCACGUUUAAAUUACUUAAGGAACAAGAGUUGUAGGACUCUGCCACGGGAAACCUGGAGUCGAGCUGGGAUUCUGUCUCCUGUUCUUGGAAGGGGCUGAAGCUGCUGUGAAAUGGCCUCCGGGAUGUUGGUACACGGGGGAGGCACAUACAAGAAAAUAAGGAAGAGCAAGUAACUCUGCCACCUGUGAGAAGUCUGGCUAGGCCUGACAGGGCAAACACCACACAGAACCUGGCUGCAACCUUGGAUCUGGGAACCUGCC